rnacentral:rRNA from 1 species
UCUGAACCAGCCAUGCCGCGUGGAGGAUGAAGGCCCUNCUGGGUUGUAAACUUCUUUUAUCUGGGACGAAACACUUCUUUUCUAAGGAGCUUGACGGUACCAGGUGAAUAAGCACCGGCUAACUCCGUGCCAGCAGCCGCGGUAAUACGGAGGGUGCAAGCGUUAUCCGGAUUCACUGGGUUUAAAGGGUGCGUAGGCGGACAUGUAAGUCCGUGGUGAAAUCUCCGAGCUUAACUCGGAAACUGCCAUGGAUACUAUAUGUCUUGAAUGUUGUGGAGGUUAGCGGAAUAUGUCAUGUAGCGGUGAAAUGCAUAGAUAUGACAUGGAACACCAAUUGCGAAGGCAGCUGGCUACACAAAUAUUGACGCUGAGGCACGAAAGCGUGGGGAUCAAACAGGAUUAGAUACCCUGGUAGUCCACGCCCUAAACGAUGAUNACUCGACAUACGCGAUACACAGUGUGUGUCUGAGCGAAAGCAUUAAGUAAUCCACCUGGGAAGUACGACCGCAAGGUNGAAACUCAAAUGAAUUGACGG